ensembl:rRNA 5S_rRNA 5S ribosomal RNA
ACAUACAGCCAUAUCACCCUGCAUCCCAAGACCGGUUACUCACUGAAGCUAUGCAGGGCUGAGCCUGGUCAGUACCUGGAUGGUACUGGAGACCACAAGGGAAAACUAGGUUGCUGUUGGAA